rnacentral:misc_RNA from 1 species
AGCGCAAACUGGCGUAACGCCAGCGCGCGUUUCGAUGAAAUACGUUAAGUUCCGGCAAUGUAAACCAACAACAAUGAUAGCCAGUUUUGAGAGCGCAAAGUUCUCAUAAG